rnacentral:tRNA from 1 species
GGAUGAGUCGGGGAUGAUGGCUCCCUCCCCUUCAUAAGGGGAGGGGUGGGGUUCUAGCUCACUCAUCCCCCA